AUCAACUUUCGAUGGUAGGAUAGAGGCCUACCAUGGUGGUAACGGGUAACGGGGUGUUAGGGCACGACACCGGAGAGGGAGCCUGAGAAACGGCUACCACAUCCAAGGAUGGCAGCAGGCGCGCAAAUUACCCAAUCCCGACACGGGGAGGUAGUGACAAUAAAUAACAAUACGGGGUUCGUUCGGAUUUCGUAAUUGGAAUGAGUACAAUUUAAAUCUCUUAACGAGGAACAAUUGGAGGGCAAGUCUGGUGCCAGCAGCCGCGGUAAUUCCAGCUCCAAUAGCGUAUAUUAAAGUUGCUGCAGUUAAAAAGCUCGUAGUUGAAUUUCGGGACCAAUAUGUCGGUCGUGCCUCGGUACGUACUGGCAUCGUUGGUUUCUCCCUUCUGACGAACCAUGAUGUCAUUCAUUUGGUGUCGUGGGGAAUCAGGACUGUUACCUUGAAAAAAUUAGAGUGUUUAAAGCAGGCUCACGCUUGAAUACGUUAGCAUGGAAUAAUGAAAUAGGACGUUUGAUUCUAUUUUGUUGGUUUCUAGGAUCGACGUAAUGAUUAAUAGGGAUAGUUGGGGGCAUUAGUAUUCAAUUGUCAGAGGUGAAAUUCUUGGAUUUAUUGAAGACUAACUACUGCGAAAGCAUUUGCCAAGGAUGUUUUCAUUAAUCAAGAACGAAAGUUAGGGGAUCGAAGACGAUCAGAUACCGUCGUAGUCUUGACCAUAAACUAUGCCGACUAGGGAUCGGAUGAUGUUAAUUUUUUAAUGACUCAUUCGGCGCCUUACGGGAAACCAAAGUGUUUGGGUUC
rnacentral:rRNA from 1 species